rnacentral:rRNA from 1 species
UACGAAGGGGGCUAGCGUUGCUCGGAAUCACUGGGCGUAAAGCGCACGUAGGCGGACUCUUAAGUCGGUGGUGAAAUCCUGGAGCUCAACUCCAGAACUGCCUCCGAUACUGGCGAUCUCGAGUCCGGGAGAGGUGAGUGGAACUGCGAGUGUAGAGGUGAAAUUCGUAGAUAUUCGCAAGAACACCAGUGGCGAAGGCGGCUCACUGGCCCGGUACUGACGCUGAGGUGCGAAAGCGUGGGGAGCGAACAGG